AGGAUUAUAGUUUAACUUAAAACCUUUGAUUUGCAAUCAAAAAAUAUUAUAUAAAAAUAAUUUAUCUUA
rnacentral:tRNA from 1 species